UCUUCUUCUUCUUUAAUUUUCUUCUUGAUAAUCUCUUUUAUACAGAGACUCGGUGUGAAUUCCGAUGAUCCAAUUAGUAGUCUUUGAAGAAGUGAAAAGCCCAUGACGAUGAUGAUCUCCUCUGCAACAUGAUGAUCCGUAAGAGUUGAAUUCACUUUUCUCCGAUGAGUCGCGGUGGAGCCAAGGCGGCUGUUAACGGCGACUAGACCACGUUUGUUCUCAACGAUCCGUACGAUUACGUCUUACGAGGCGUUCUUAGCAAGCCAUCUCUUGAAGCCACAUGUUGCAUAUCGGCUUGGAUUGGAGGUAUGAGAUUCGCUUGCACGAUUACUUUGGGGGAGAAAGCUUCGACUAAGGAGGAGGACGCGAAUCAGAGGAAAACAGAGAACGAAUCCACCGGUGGAGACAAAGGAAUCGCGAGUUAUUAGGGUUUCACAACCUUUAGGUCUAUUUUCCUUUUCUUACUUUUUUUUGAAAAUCAUAUAACAUAGUAAUAGUUUUGAUUUUUUUAAAAAAUAUUCUAUUUUCCAAUUCUAAUUAAUACUAAAUAAAUAUCAAAGGUUUUUUCAAAUAUUUUUUAAGUAAAAUUCAUGAUUUUUUUCUUAAUGUUUUGUCUUUUUCUUUUAAGUGUUAAAUUUUAAUUUUUAUGUAAACUAAUUAGAUACAAUAUCUAAAUCCCUAAAAUAUUUUGGUUUUUAAAAAAUCUAAGUGUUAAAUUUCAAUGCAUUGAGAACAAACCGGAUUAAGCAUGCCGUCCCAUCCUACGGGUCCGUAAGCCGUGUUAUUAGUUCAA
rnacentral:sRNA from 1 species